GAUGGAUUAGCUCAGUUGGUUAGAGCGCGUCGUUGACAUCGACGAGGUCACAGGUUCAAGUCCUGUAUCCAUCACAA
rnacentral:tRNA from 1 species